rnacentral:rRNA from 1 species
UUUAUGGAGAGUUUGAUCCUGGCUCAGGAUGAACGCUGGCGGCGUGCCUAAUACAUGCAAGUCGAGCGAACGGACGAGAAGCUUGCUUCUCUGAUGUUAGCGGCGGACGGGUGAGUAACACGUGGAUAACCUACCUAUAAGACUGGGAUAACUUCGGGAAACCGGAGCUAAUACCGGAUAAUAUUUUGAACCACAUGGUUCAAAAGUGAAAGACGGUCUUGCUGUCACUUAUAGAUGGAUCCGCGCUGCAUUAGCUAGUUGGUAAGGUAACGGCUUACCAAGGCAACGAUGCAUAGCCGACCUGAGAGGGUGAUCGGCCACACUGGAACUGAGACACGGUCCAGACUCCUACGGGAGGCAGCAGUAGGGAAUCUUCCGCAAUGGGCGAAAGCCUGACGGAGCAACGCCGCGUGAGUGAUGAAGGUCUUCGGAUCGUAAAACUCUGUUAUUAGGGAAGAACAUAUGUGUAAGUAACUGUGCACAUCUUGACGGUACCUAAUCAGAAAGCCACGGCUAACUACGUGCCAGCAGCCGCGGUAAUACGUAGGUGGCAAGCGUUAUCCGGAAUUAUUGGGCGUAAAGCGCGCGUAGGCGGUUUUUUAAGUCUGAUGUGAAAGCCCACGGCUCAACCGUGGAGGGUCAUUGGAAACUGGAAAACUUGAGUGCAGAAGAGGAAAGUGGAAUUCCAUGUGUAGCGGUGAAAUGCGCAGAGAUAUGGAGGAACACCAGUGGCGAAGGCGACUUUCUGGUCUGUAACUGACGCUGAUGUGCGAAAGCGUGGGGAUCAAACAGGAUUAGAUACCCUGGUAGUCCACGCCGUAAACGAUGAGUGCU